GUUCACUCUCAAGUAUCGAACAUCGUUAACAAUUUAGAGAAGACGUUGUUGCAGAAAAUCCUUGAUUGGGAGGUCAAAGUAAUCGAUACAGCAAAAAGGAACAGAUCUAAGAAACAUUUGAGGGGAUUGAUUCAUCUGUUCCAUAAUGGACAUUGAGGGGUUCAAGAGAUGACACGGGAAAUUGAUGAAAAAGGCUCAUUUG